rnacentral:tRNA from 1 species
GGCUUUAUAGUCUAAUAAAGAUGUCAGGUUGCAAAUCUGAGGAUGUAAAUAUUACUAAGGCUU